CAUUACUGAGUUCUAUAACUCCUACCCUAUGUGAAUAUACUCUAGUUGCCUCGGCAAGCCCGUACAACUUGCCGGCGGACCACUAAACUCUGAUUUGUCCACUGUAUCUCUGAAUUUAGUUAACAAAAUACGUUAAAACUUUCAACAACGGAUCUCUUGGUUCUGGCAUCGAUGAAGAACGCAGCGAAAUGCGAUAAGUAAUGUGAAUUGCAGAAUUCAGUGAAUCAUCGAAUCUUUGAACGCACAUUGCGCCCAGUAGUAUUCUACUGGGCAUGCCUAUUCGAGCGUCAUUUCAACCCUUACGCCCUGUAGCGUAGUGUUGGGAAUCUACCGACAGGUAGUUCCUGAAAUCGAUUGGCGGCGUUAGUGCAUACUCCAGGCGUAGUAAUACCAUUCUCGCUUCGGUAGUAGUGCUGACGGCUAGCCGUUAAACCCCCUAUACUUCUAGUGGUUGACCUCGGAUUAGGUAGGA
rnacentral:rRNA from 1 species